AAGUCGUAACAAGGUAUCCGUAGGUGAACCUGCGGAUGGAUCAUUAACGUAGUAAUAAUGCAAAUUAUUAUAAAACAUAUGUUAACCCUUGUGGUGAAAUAGUUUGUUGUUGUUUGGUAAAGAAAUGUGUGUGUGUGUUUUAUAUAAUGCACGCACAUAUGAUUUGCCAACAUCAUUUAUAAAACCUUUUUAUUACAUUGUACUAAUGCUAUCUUGUGAUGAGAUUAGGGGCAACUCUAUGAUUAUACCAAGUAAAACAAUUAUAACCAAAUACAAUUGCUAGCAACGGAUCACUCGGCUCUC
rnacentral:misc_RNA from 1 species